AGAGAGAGACAUGCGCGCAUAUCAAUAAGCGGAGGAAAAGAAACUAACAAGGAUUCCCCUAGUAACGGCGAGUGAAGCGGGAAGAGCUCAAAUUUGAAAUCUUAAAGGGUUUCCCUUUACGAAUUGUAGUUUAAAGAAGUGUUUUCUGUUGAGGUUUUGGUAAAAGUUCUUUGGAAUAGGACAUCAUAGAGGGUGAGAAUCCCGUAUUUGACCAUUUACUUUCCAGCUUUGUGAUACACUUACAAAGAGUCGGAUUGUUUGGGAAUGCAGUCCAAAAUGGGUGGUAAAUUUCAUCUAAAGCUAAAUAUUGGCGAGAGACCGAUAGCGAACAAGUACCGUGAGGGAGAAGAUGAAAAGAACUUUGAAAAGAGAGUUAAACAGUACGUGAAAUUGUCAAAAGGGAAGCGUUUGACACCAGUGUUGUUUUCUCGAAAAUCAAUUAAAAAAGGCAGGAUUUUGUGUUGUAUUGACUUUAUCAGCUUUCUGCACUCUUUUCUUGUCUUUUUUAAUGCACUUUUCGUUUAACAAGUCAACAUCAAUUUCUUUUGUUGUAAAAGGGUCAUUGGAAGGUGGCUUUCUUUUCGGAGAAAGUGUUUAUAGCCUUUGGCCUCUGCAAUCGGAGAGAUUGAGGUCUGCAGCGUAGAUCCUUCGGGGUUAGAUACAUUUGUGCUAAGUUAUAGCCUUUCAUAGACAACUUGUUGACUAUGAUCAGUCAUGUAGCUUACUCGCUUAUGCUAUUUUACCUACGCUUAGGAUGUUGAUGUGAUACUGCGAGC
rnacentral:rRNA from 1 species